UGCUUAACACAUGCAAGUCGAACGGUAAGGCCCUUUCGGGGGUACACGAGUGGCGAACGGGUGAGUAACACGUGGGUAAUCUACCCUGCACUCUGGGAUAAGCCUGGGAAACUGGGUCUAAUACCGGAUAUUCAUUUCUCCUCGCAUGGGGGGUUGUGGAAAGUUUUUCGGUGCAGGAUGUGCCCGCGGCCUAUCAGCUUGUUGGUGGGGUAAUGGCCUACCAAGGCGACGACGGGUAGCCGGCCUGAGAGGGUGAUCGGCCACACUGGGACUGAGACACGGCCCAGACUCCUACGGGAGGCAGCAGUGGGGAAUAUUGCACAAUGGGCGCAAGCCUGAUGCAGCCAUGCCGCGUGUAUGAAGAAGGCCUUCGGGUUGUAAAGUACUUUCAGCGAGGAGGAAG
rnacentral:rRNA from 1 species